GCUUCCUUGGUUUAGUGGUAUAACGCGACACUAGUAAUGUUGAGGUCAGUCGUUCGAUCCGGCUAGGAAGCU
rnacentral:tRNA from 1 species